rnacentral:rRNA from 1 species
GAUGAACGCUGGCGGCGUGCCUAAUACAUGCAAGUCGAGCGAACAGAUGAGGAGCUUGCUCCUCUGACGUUAGCGGCGGACGGGUGAGUAACACGUGGAUAACCUACCUAUAAGACUGGGAUAACUUCGGGAAACCGGAGCUAAUACCGGAUAAUAUAUUGAACCGCAUGGUUCAAUAGUGAAAGACGGUUUUGCUGUCACUUAUAGAUGGAUCCGCGCCGCAUUAGCUAGUUGGUAAGGUAACGGCUUACCAAGGCGACGAUGCGUAGCCGACCUGAGAGGGUGAUCGGCCACACUGGAACUGAGACACGGUCCAGACUCCUACGGGAGGCAGCAGUAGGGAAUCUUCCGCAAUGGGCGAAAGCCUGACGGAGCAACGCCGCGUGAGUGAUGAAGGUCUUCGGAUCGUAAAACUUUGUUAUUAGGGAAGAACAAAUGUGUAAGUAACUAUGCACGUCUUGACGGUACCUAAUCAGAAAGCCACGGCUAACUACGUG